AGUUUGUUUCAUGUCCACUAUCCAAUGUGAUACUUUCCUAUAUGAUUCCCUUGAAUAUGAUUUGGAACAAACUUCCUAAGUCAUAUUCAUUUGUUUUAGCCAAAGACUUUAGAAUCAUAUCUUAGAGUAUUCUCCUUCCACCAUGGAAGGUUAGAGAUCCCUUGUUGUGCAUUCAUAUGCUUACAUGACUAGAUAGCUUGACCCCAACAAUGCCGUGGACACUCCGAGGGAAUGCCGUUGACAUGAUUAAAGAUCAAGGACCUAACCAUUAGACAUCUAUGAUGCCUCAGGUCAAAG
rnacentral:lncRNA from 1 species